rnacentral:rRNA from 1 species
GACGAACGCUGGCGGCGUGCUUAACACAUGCAAGUCACGGGGGGGUAGCAAUACUCAACCGGCGAACGGGUGCGUAACACGUGACCAACCUGCCCUCGUGUGGGGGAUAGCCGGGCUAAC